CCCUUAGAUGUCCUGGGCCGCACGCGUGCUACACUGACGCAUACAGCGAGCACUUUCCAGUUCCGAGAGGCUACUGGUAAUCAUCAAUAUGUGUCGUGAUGGGGAUAGAUCUUUGGAAUUCUGGAUCUUGAACGAGGAAUGCCUAGUAAUCGCAGGUCAUUAGCCUGCGAUGAUUAAGACCCUGCCCUUUGUACACACCGCCCGUCGCUACUACCGAUUUCGAGUGGUCAGGUGAAUCUUUCGGACUGUGGGCGCCCUUGAGGUGUUCGCGGAAAGUCAGGUAAAUCUUAUCACUUAGAGGAAGUAAAAGUCGUAACA
rnacentral:rRNA from 1 species